GCCGUGGGGGGGGGCGUAUACAUGCAAGUCGAGCGGAGUUUUGAAAGCUUGCUUUUCAAAACUUAGCGGCGGACGGGUGAGUAACACGUGGGCAACCUGCCCUUGAGACGGGGAUAACUCCGGGAAACCGGAGCUAAUACCGGAUAACACAUAUCUUCGCAUGAGGAUAUGUUAGAAGGUGGCUUUUAGCUACCACUCAAGGAUGGGCCCGCGGCGCAUUAGCUAGUUGGUGAGGUAACGGCUCACCAAGGCGACGAUGCGUAGCCGACCUGAGAGGGUGAUCGGCCACACUGGGACUGAGACACGGCCCAGACUCCUACGGGAGGCAGCAGUAGGGAAUCUUCCGCAAUGGACGAAAGUCUGACGGAGCAACGCCGCGUGAGUGAUGAAGGUUUUCGGAUCGUAAAGCUCUGUUGUUAGGGAAGAACAAGUACCUGUUAAAUAAGCAGGUACCUUGACGGUACCUAACCAGAAAGCCACGGCUAACUACGUGCCAGCAGCCGCGGUAAUACGUAGGUGGCAAGCGUUGUCCGGAAUUAUUGGGCGUAAAGCGCGCGCAGGCGGUUCCUUAAGUCUGAUGUGAAAGCCCACGGCUCAACCGUGGAGGGUCAUU
rnacentral:rRNA from 2 species